GACGAACGCUGGCGGCGUGCUUAACACAUGCAAGUCGAACGAUGAAGCGGUGCUUGCACCGUGGAUUAGUGGCGAACGGGUGAGUAAUACGUGAGUGACCUACCUUUGACUCUGGGAUAAGCCUGGGAAACUGGGUCUAAUACCGGAUACGACCAAUCUCUGCAUGGGGUGUUGGUGGAAAGCGUUAUGGAGUGGUUUUAGAUGGGCUCACGGCCUAUCAGCUUGUUGGUGAGGUAAUGGCUUACCAAGGCGACGACGGGUAGCCGGCCUGAGAGGGUGACCGGCCACACUGGGACUGAGACACGGCCCAGACUCCUACGGGAGGCAGCAGUGGGGAAUAUUGCACAAUGGGCGCAAGCCUGAUGCGGCGACGCCGCGUGAGGGAUGACGGCCUUCGGGUUGUAAACCUCUGUUAGCAUCGAAGAAGCGAAAGUGACGGUAGGUGCAGAGAAAGCGCCGGCUAACUACGUGCCAGCAGCCGCGGUAAUACGUAGGGCGCGAGCGUUGUCCGGAAUUAUUGGGCGUAAAGAGCUUGUAGGCGGUUGGUCGCGUCUGCUGUGAAGGCCGGGGCUUAACUCCGGUUUUGCAGUGGGUACGGGCUAACUAGAGUGCAGUAGGGGAGACUGGAAUUCCUGGUGUAGCGGUGGAAUGCACAGAUAUCAGGAGGAACACCGAUGGCGAAGGCAGGUCUCUGGGCUGUAACUGACGCUGAGAAGCGAAAGCAUGGGGAGCGAACAGGAUUAGAUACCCUGGUAGUCCAUGCCGUAAACGUUGGGCACUAGGUGUGGGGGACAUUCCACGUUUUCCGCGCCGUAGCUAACGCAUUAAGUGCCCCGCCUGGGGAGUACGGCCGCAAGGCUAAAACUCAAAGGAAUUGACGGGGGCCCGCACAAGCGGCGGAGCAUGCGGAUUAAUUCGAUGCAACGCGAAGAACCUUACCAAGGCUUGACAUGCAUUAGAUCGCGUCAGAGAUGGCGUUUCCCUUCGGGGCUGGUGUACAGGUGGUGCAUGGUUGUCGUCAGCUCGUGUCGUGAGAUGUUGGGUUAAGUCCCGCAACGAGCGCAACCCUCGUUCUAUGUUGCCAGCGGUUCGGCCGGGGACUCAUAGGAGACUGCCGGGGUUAACUCGGAGGAAGGUGGGGAUGACGUCAAAUCAUCAUGCCCCUUAUGUCUUGGGCUUCACGCAUGCUACAAUGGCCGGUACAGAGGGUUGCGAUACUGUGAGGUGGAGCUAAUCCCUUAAAGCCGGUCUCAGUUCGGAUUGGGGUCUGCAACUCGACCCCAUGAAGUCGGAGUCGCUAGUAAUCGCAGAUCAGCAACGCUGCGGUGAAUACGUUCCCGGGCCU
rnacentral:rRNA from 1 species